UACAGAGGUCUCAAGCGUUGUUCGGAUUCAUUGGGCGUAAAGGGUGCGUAGGUGGCGCCGUAAGUCGGGUGUGAAAUUUCGGAGCUUAACUCCGAAACUGCAUUCGAUACUGCGGUGCUUGAGGAACUGGAGAGGAGACUGGAAUUUACGGUGUAGCAGUGAAAUGCGUAGAGAUCGAUUAAGGAAGACCAGUGGCGGAAGGCGGGUCUCCUGG
rnacentral:rRNA from 1 species